rnacentral:rRNA from 1 species
GAGUUUGAUCGUGGCUCAGAUUGAACGCUGGCGGCAGGCCUAACACAUGCAAGUCGAGCGGAUGACGGGAGCUUGCUCCUUGAUUCAGCGGCGGACGGGUGAGUAAUGCCUAGGAAUCUGCCUGGUAGUGGGGGACAACGUUUCGAAAGGAACGCUAAUACCGCAUACGUCCUACGGGAGAAAGCAGGGGACCUUCGGGCCUUGCGCUAUCCGAUGAGCCUAGGUCGGAUUAGCUAGUUGGUGGGGUAAUGGCUCACCAAGGCGACAAUCCGUAACUGGUCUGAGAGGAUGAUCAGUCACACUGGAACUGAGACACGGUCCAGACUCCUACGGGAGGCAGCAGUGGGGAAUAUUGGACAAUGGGCGAAAGCCUGAUCCAGCCAUGCCGCGUGUGUGAAGAAGGUCUUCGGAUUGUAAAGCACUUUAAGUUGGGAGGAAGGGCAGUAAGUUAAUACCUUGCUGUUUUGACGUUACCGACAGAAUAAGCACCGGCUAACUCUGUGCCAGCAGCCGACCG